rnacentral:rRNA from 1 species
AUUGAACGCUGGCGGCAUGCUUUACACAUGCCAGUCGAACGGCAGCACGGGGGCAACCCUGGUGGCGAGUGGCGAACGGGUGAGUAAUACAUCGGAACGUGCCCGGUCGUGGGGGAUAACGUAGCGAAAGUUACGCUAAUACCGCAUACGAUCUGAGGAUGAAAGCGGGGGACCUUCGGGCCUCGCGCGAUCGGAGCGGCCGAUGUCAGAUUAGGUAGUUGGUGGGGUAAAGGCCUACCAAGCCGACGAUCUGUAGCUGGUCUGAGAGGACGACCAGCCACACUGGGACUGAGACACGGCCCAGACUCCUACGGGAGGCAGCAGUGGGGAAUUUUGGACAAUGGGCGCAAGCCUGAUCCAGCCAUUCCGCGUGCAGGACGAAGGCCUUCGGGUUGUAAACUGCUUUUGUAUGGAACGAAAAGGCUCUGGCUAAUACCUGGGGCUCAUGACGGUACCGUAAGAAUAAGCACCGGCUAACUACGUG